rnacentral:rRNA from 1 species
AAUUGGGCGUUAAGUUGCAGGGUAUAGACCCGAAACCCGGUGAUCUAGCCAUGGGCAGGUUGAAGGUUGGGUAACACUAACUGGAGGACCGAACCGACUAAUGUUGAAAAAUUAGCGGAUGACCUGUGGCUGGGGGUGAAAGGCCAAUCAAACCGGGAGAUAGCUGGUUCUCCCCGAAAGCUAUUUAGGUAGCGCCUCGUGAAUUCAUCUCCGGGGGUAGAGCACUGUUUCGGCUAGGGGGCCAUCCCGGCUUACCAACCCGAUGCAAACUGCGAAUACCGGAGAAUGUUAUCACGGGAGACACACGGCGGGUGCUAACGUCCGUCGUGAAGAGGGAAACAACCCAGACCGCCAGCUAAGGUCCCAAAGUCAUGGUUAAGUGGGAAACGAUGUGGGAAGGCCCAGACAGCCAGGAUGUUGGCUUAGAAGCAGCCAUCAUUUAAAGAAAGCGUAAUAGCUCACUGGUCGAGUCGGCCUGCGCGGAAGAUGUAACGGGGCUAAACCAUGCACCGAAGCUGCGGCAGCGACACUCAGGUGUUGUUGGGUAGGGGAGCGUUCUGUAAGCCUGCGAAGGUGUGUCGUGAGGCAUGCUGGAGGUAUCAGAAGUGCGAAUGCUGACAUAAGUAACGAUAAAGCGGGUGAAAAGCCCGCUCGCCGGAAGACCAAGGGUUCCUGUCCAACGUUAAUCGGGG